GAGCCGAUGGACUGGAGAGCCACAACCGACGCCGACGAUUGCGUGGAGGCCGCGAAAAGGCUCUUCUUGCAUGCAACACAUCAGAAAGCAAAAAAAAUGUCAACUACACAAAGAAGCAAGUACUGGGAGAGAGAAUUUGGGUGAGAAGCUAGAGAAAUUGAAAAAACCUUGGGAGAAAACUACAAAUCCACCUGUGACAGAGACAUGUCAACAACACAAAGAAGCAACGGGAGAGAGGAUUUGGGUUAGAAGCUAGAGAAAUUGAAAAAACCUUGGGAGAAAACUACAAAUCCACCAGUGACAGAGACAUGUCAACAACACAAAGAAGCAACGGGAGAGAGG
rnacentral:lncRNA from 1 species